AUUAUUUACGUACUCAUUUUUUCCAACGAUGCCCAAUUUCCCAGAAACAACAUGUUGUGGUCCGCCCCCAGCUGCCAUGUGAACAUUUGUCGUCAAGUCUGCAUAUGGGUGCAACGCACGCACAUUUCACUCAGCAAAUACGAGUGAAAAUGGGCUUCCAUAAAGUUUGCGCAAACUUCCAAUGCAUUUCAACAAUAUUGCCAGAAAUGGAUUGUCAACCGUCAAACCACUGGUGUUGACAUUAUUAUGAGCUGUCCUCCCUUCAGCAGCCUCCAUUGAUGUAGACGGGAGGGGUAUCGAUCGCCAGCUGAGCCUAAAUGCUGCAAUUGUGAAGUGUCCUGUUAGGCUGAAGGAGACGGAGGUGGAGCUGAAGUCGGGGCUCCUUUUAUAAGCAGUAUCUGAGACGAGAGGGACCUGGAGCUGAUUUAUGCUGCGUGCCAUCAGGAGUUGGCAAACAUCUCAGAAGGGACACAAGUUGAUGAUCACUGACAGUACAUCACAAGUAAUAUCACCCUUUCAAUACGUGUCACUCAUCAACACUUCCUCAUUUUCCUACAGAUGGGCAGGAGAGAUUAGGGCUGGGCGAUAUGGCCAAAAUAUCACAAUAUUUCACUUUUUUUUACAGUAUGACUUAGGAUUGUUUUAUACCGUUCAAUCCAACAAAAAUCUUUUUCAGCAUUUUCAUCAAUUUCCACACUGUGCCAUGUAGGGCUGCAUGUAAAUUGGUGAACUCUUGGAAUCAUGGAAAUAUAAUGAUUAUUCUAAUUCCAUACACUGAACAAAAAUACAAACGCAACAACUUCAAAGAUUUUACUGAGUUACAAUUCAUACAAGGACAUCAGU